GUUGACAAGUUGGGGAAGAACCUGACAAAAACGCAGGAUGAGCCAUGCCGUUUUAGAUUCGGUGCCAUUUUCACCUCCUCCAAUUUGCCCACCAAAGAAGGAAUUUUUACACACUGAUCGAUCGAUCGAUCGACGGCUCGAUCAACUACGCCUCGUCUCCUCAUCGGGAUGAUCUAGAUAUCUCCUCCGAUUCUCCACUCUCUGGUCAACAAUUUCAUCCUGAAUUUCACAGCUCUUGUCUCGCUCGCCUUCGAUCGCGUUCGUUCCCUCGUUCGGUUCUUCGUGGGAUCCGGAUGUGCCGUGCGCUAUGUACAUGGUGGUAUGAGAUCAGUGUGUGCUUAGUGCGUCUCUAGUGCUCGGCUUGAUGAAUUGUUGUCCGGAUUUCGCGAUUGGUUCUUACUGCAUGGAUGUGGCGGCUGAUGGGGCGUAAAUGGGAACAGCGGUCUUACCACGAGUUCUCCGCAUAUAUCCAGUUUUUGCUGGGGAUUAGCAUCUUGGUAGACAAUGGUCCCGCUAACCUGUUGCCAUUCGACCGUAAGCUAUAGGCCAAUACGUCCAUCUGAUCUUGAAAUCUUGGAGCAGAUUCAUGGGGAUAUAUUUCCCAUUAGGUAUGAAUCUGAGUUCUUCCAAGAUGUUGUCCAUGGACAUGGUAUAGUGUCUUGGGCAGCUGUUGACCAUAGCCGUGGUGAUGGAAAAGGUGAUGAGCUAAUAGGAUUCGUAACAGCAAGGGUUGUUCUUGCAACAGAAAGUGAGAUUGUGGAUCUGCUUGAUUAUGAUUCUGCAGAAUCAGAAUGGUCAUUAGUCUACAUUCUGACUCUGGGAGUGGUAGAUAAAUAUAGAAAUCUUGGAAUAGCCUCUUCACUCAUUCUUGAGGUUAUCAAGUAUGCCUGUAGCAUCCCAACUUGUCGAGCUGUUUACUUGCAUGUGAUAUCUUACAACUUUCCUGCCAUUCACCUAUACAAGAAAAUGUCAUUCAAGUGUAUACGGAAGUUGCUGGGUUUUUAUCUGAUUGAUGGCCAGCAUUACGAUUCUUACCUGUUUGUUUACUUUGUACAAGGCUGUCAGUCUCGGUGCUCGCCAGUGGAGCUUGUCACAGCUAUCAUGAAAUAUGUAUGGAGCGGUUUCCAGUCGAUUGCUGCAAAGUUGUGGAGCAAUGAAAGGAAGGUCAGGUGGAUGGUCCCGAUGUAAUGAAGCUCAUUGUCUAAUAUAUGCAGCACAGAACAAGAGAAUCCUCGAGUCUCAGAGAUAGGGAUGAGUGUAUACUAUGCGUGCAUUUUAUCAACCAAUAUUGAUAUGGAUGUCAUCUCUUGCCCAAUAACUUGACUGAGGAAGUGAGGCGCAUCCUCCACUGGCCCAUUGCUCUCAGGGUUACCAGCAAACGAUUACUAGUUAGUUUCGUGAAUGGACUACCGACGUGUUGACAAGAGAGGGGUUCAGAAAGGGAUGAGAAAGAUAUAUCAUGGGGUAAAAGAACAGAGACAAUUUCAUCAGUGUAUAGUAGAGCUCUCUCUCUCUAAGAUACACUUGAAGUGGCCAUAGGUGCAUUUUCUGUGUGUAUGGUGGUGUGAUUUAGCUGAGUUUCAAGCUCACAUAUGACCAUGAGCUUUUUCAUAUCAUAUUGCCGAUCUCAUUAACAGUGAAAGGAUAUUAGAGGAAUCAUUCGUCUUUGCAAAAUCA